rnacentral:rRNA from 1 species
GCGUAACAAGGUCUCCGUAGGUGAACCUGCGGAGGGAUCAUUACACAAUAUGAAAGCGGGCUGGAAUCCUUUGGGGUUACAGCCUUGCUGAAUUAUUCACCCGUGUCUUUUGCGUACUUCUUGUUUCCUUGGUGGGUUCGCCCACCAUAGGACAAACCAUUAAACCUUUUGUAAUUGCAAUCAGCGUCAGUAAAAAAAUUAAUAAUUACAACUUUUAACAACGGAUCUCUUGGUUCUGGCAUCGAUGAAGAACGCAGCGAAAUGCGAUAAGUAGUGUGAAUUGCAGAAUUCAGUGAAUCAUCGAAUCUUUGAACGCACAUUGCGCCCUUUGGUAUUCCAAAGGGCAUGCCUGUUCGAGCGUCAUUUGUACCCUCAAGCUUUGCUUGGUGUUGGGCGUCUUGUCUCCAGUUCGCUGGAGACUCGCCUUAAAGUAAUUGGCAGCCGGCCUACUGGUUUCGGAGCGCAGCACAAGUCGCGCUCUCUUCCAGCGAAGGUCAGCAUCCACAAAGCCUUUUUUCAACUUUUGACCUCGAUACACGAAAUUACAUCAUCUC